GAUGAACGCUGGCGGCGUGCCUAAUACAUGCAAGUCGAGCGAAUGGAUUAAGAGCUUGCUCUUAUGAAGUUAGCGGCGGACGGGUGAGUAACACGUGGGUAACCUGCCCAUAAGACUGGGAUAACUCCGGGAAACCGGGGCUAAUACCGGAUAACAUUUUGAACCGCAUGGUUCGAAAUUGAAAGGCGGCUUCGGCUGUCACUUAUGGAUGGACCCGCGUCGCAUUAGCUAGUUGGUGAGGUAACGGCUCACCAAGGCAACGAUGCGUAGCCCACCUGGGAGGGUGAUCGGCCAAACUGGGACUGAGACACGGCCCAGACUCCUACGGGAGGCAGCAGUAGGGAAUCUUCCGCAAUGGACGAAAGUCUGACGGAGCAAUGCCGCGUGAGUGAUGAAGGCUUUCGGGUCGUAAAACUCUGUUGUUAGGGAAGAACAAGUGCUAGUUGAAUAAGCUGGCACCUUGACGGUACCUAACCAGAAAGCCACGGCUACUACGUGCCAGCCGCCGCCGUAA
rnacentral:rRNA from 1 species